rnacentral:rRNA from 1 species
AGCGAACGCUGGCGGCAUGCUUAACACAUGCAAGUCGCACGGUCGGGGUAACCCGACAGUGGCGGACGGGUGAGUAACGCGUAGGUAUCUAUCUCCGGGUGGGGGACAACUGUGGGAAACUACAGCUAAUACCGCAUGACACCCGAGGGUCAAAGCAGCGAUGCGCCUGGAGAGGAGCCUGCGUACGAUUAGCUUGUUGGCGGGGUAAUGGCCCACCAAGGCGACGANCGUUAGCUGGUCUGAGAGGAUGAUCAGCCACACUGGGACUGAGAC